AAUUAUAAGAAAAUGUUGUCAGCUAAAUGAACUAGUGUGGCCCAAAGCCAUUGGUAUAGUCACAUCAGGACAAUUAAAAGUAUGCUAUCCUAAAAGCAUGCUAUCCUUUUCUUCUGAAAGGGUACAUUUUCUUCACUUCAUGCUUCUUUAGACCCGUCUAAAAUAAAUAAUGGAUUUAUUGUUAAGGUGUAGGAUAUAUUACAUGGAUUUAUUUAUUCGACUUUUUAAAAUGGCUUGUUGGCUAUGUGUGGGAGCCAGGAGAUGCUAAAUGUGUUUGUUAUUUAACGGUCAAUUACUGUGAGACUGAAAGUCUUUUGCUUGACAAUCACCGGAUGAUGAAUUUGUGACCGCCACAGCCCUAGUUGAGACCCCGACUGAGUUCACUUGUUUUAUCUCCAGAUACAAAGUGAAAGUAAACUAUACUGUCAACUGAAAAAGGGGAAGGGCUCAACUAUUUAAUAGGUAGAGGCAGCACACGACACUCAACUCAGAAGAAGCUAUAGACAGACAAACUUACAUUUACAAGAUGGGAGCAAUCUACAGUUAUUUCUACCCAGAGUAUUCAGAGGAAACCACAGUUGUCCCUCAAAGUGAGACCACUCAGGACACAUUGGUUACGGACAGGUCACCAGGGCAACAAUGUGAUAAGGCAAAGACAGGUGAUUUCGAUGUUGAACCUCAAUCCGAGAGUUCAGACAGAGAGGCGGGACAAUCCAAUGAAAACACAAAGUGUACAACACAGGUUACAAACAGGUCACCAGGGCAACGAGGUGAUAAGACUAACACAGGGAAUAUCCUGGCGGGAUCCCCAAGUGCCUUUGGUGCUGACGAUAACAUUGAGGAUGUGGACAAGUUAAACGUCUAUGUGAAAUGUGCAGGAAAGACCCUGGAUAUAGAGGUGUUCCCUCUGGAGAAAAUCGCAGUUCUGCUGGAAAAUGGAUGUCAAAAGGCAGGGAAGAACCCCUUAACAAUGCGCUUGUUUACAAUGGGGAAAUUCUGAAUAAGAGCAAAACAGUGAAACACUACAAAAUACGAAGAGGAAGCUCAGUACACCUUAUUCGUCGUGCCUGUGAAGAAUAAGUCAACGUGUUACUUAUUGUUACUGUAUAUGCUAUCAUGGCUGAAGAAAGCAGAAUAUAUAACAUUCAUAUUUAUCUUUAUGAUAACACUAAAUGAGAUAAGAUACACGACUCCAUCAUUAUUUUAUUGCGGCAUCACUGACCAACCAGUAUAUAAGCGUCUACUUGAUCAUAACCAAUGAUGUAUAAUAGUGGGUCCCAACCAGGGGUAAACUGGUUUUGCAUUAAACAACAUUUUCAGCCAACUCCUUGUCUGAAGGACAAAUAGAUAAACAGGUUAAUGUCAAGCCCUGCAUGGAACGUAGGCCUACAUUGAACACCACACAUUGGCUGCUACGGUAGGCUGAAAGAUAGAACAGCUAUUUUCCAUGUUAAAAUGUUAUGGGAUGCAUUUUCUCCAUUGUUUUUGAUGGUAGGUCACUCCGGUAGGCCUACAUUAUGGUCAAAUAGCCACUGUUAAAACCAACGUAAAGUAGGUACAGCCUUAGUGUUCACAGUAAAUGCACGCCGGAAGUUGCACAGAACUUUCACAGCAUUCAAGUUUGCGCUCAGCAGACCUGAAAAUUGCUCAGUACUGAAAAAAACCAUUACACACUACACACCAUUACCACAGAGUUGUAACAAACACACAAAUAACUUUUCAUGUAAUAUGUUGUGCCAUUCUAUGCAUGUCAAUUUGCUUUUAAAAAUAAAACGGGUAUAUAUGCUGACUUGGGAAAAUUGUUAGGUGCUUAUUCUACAAGAUUAUCAUUAGUCUAACUCGUAUAAAGCUGGAAGGUAAAUAAAUGCAAAAAAAUCAUUAGGAUUAUAACCGCAAACUAGGCUAAAGUCAAAUGUUGGGCUUAUGGGCCUACAAUGGUUCCCUAGCUGUAGGCCUAGACCAGACUUCCAAUGUCCACUAAAACCUGUGCAGCGAAACUGUGAAACUUACUUCAUAAUUAAUCAGCUAAAAUCUAUGACCUAGGGCAAAUUAUAUUUCUUACCUCACAAUCUACUAUGGGGAUAGUAGAUUGACAUAGGCUAGUGCUUUUGCUGUUCGUUAGGCCUACUCAUCUUGUUGGCUGAUGAAAAGUAAUUUUGGACAGUUCUUCCAAUAUCUUCAAUAUGCACCUCGGAAUUGGAUAAGGACAAGCGUUGUUGCGUCCCUGAUGUGUCUGACUUGUGGCUUGUGGAAAGACCCGAUCAUGUUACAGAGAGCCAUGUGAGUGAGAGGCGCUUUGGAUUGCGCAGCACAAUCAGGAAGAAGGGCACAACACAGCAUUCUGGGGCCGCAAAAGGCAAGGAUCUUUUUAUGGUGCA
rnacentral:lncRNA from 8 species